UUUGCAAUGUGUAGCCGGGUGGUGUCACAACCCCAUCUCAGCAUUCUCUGCUAUGUCUCUCUCUGCUUGAUUGGUCUGCCCUCUGCAUCCUCAGUCUCCCUCCAUGUGUCUGGUUCAGAAGGCCCCUUGGUGGUGGAGAAAGGAGCGGACGCCUUGCUGCCGUGUUUCCUGAGCCCGCCCCUUGACGCCUCACACCUGUCAAUCACCUGGCAUCGCCUGCUGAUUGGCUCUUCCGACGUGCCAAUCACCAGUGCUUACAAUGUGAGAGGUCUUGACCAAAGGCCAGCCACUUCAUCACCUGCUGGUCCUCAUGAUGGUGCUAAACGGU